CAUGCCUGCCUGGAUGCUGCCAUACUUCCACCUUGAUAAAGGACUGAACCUCUGAACCUUGUCCUUUAUAAGAGUUGCCUUGGUCCUGGUGUCAAUCACAGCAAUGACAGCCUAAGUUAGACACCUACUCACCAACAUUGGAGGACACAGCCCUGUUCAUGAUGUCCAGUGCUUCAUUGAACUUGUCCUUGACAGAAGGGUGUGCCAGCACCUGGUCUGAGAACAUGGACUUCCAGCCCAGGUACCACUUGGUGAUCUCCUCGUAAUUGGGACUGUUACUGAGCCAGGAGCACAGCACCUGCCAAAGGACAUAGGACACUGAGCCGCACACACUGGACCACAGCAGUGAGGGCAGAGUAUCCCCAGGGGCCAUUGCUGUAUUGAGCGUCGCUCCUCCCAGCAGCCCACAUUACAGGACACAUGGAGGUUCUCUGAGGAGCGGAGCUGAGAUGAUACUGGGUCUGGACAGCAGUGGGCACCCCACCCUACAUCCCUCCUGGACCACACAUCUCACCUGAAGCCACUUGGGGAAGAAAUGCUUCUCCAGCAAACCCACCAGGCUGGAAACAGAGAUCAUGCCCUCCCAGUCCAUCACCCAGUAGAAGGCGUCCAUGUGCUGCUGGUGGGGGUUGAUGACGAGCUCCCCCAAGCACAUGCCUGCAAGAGAGACAACAAGGUAAACUCUUUAGUC